rnacentral:pre_miRNA from 1 species
UUUCUACUCCCUCUGUCCGGAAAUACUUGUCAUCAAAAUGAAUAAAAGGAGAUGUAUCUAGACGUAUUUUAGUUCUAGAUACAUCCCUUUUUAUCCAUUUUGAUGACAAGUAUUUUCGGACGGAGGGAGUACUCU